CCGACGUCACAGUCGACUUUGUGCUAAUUGCGCGCUUAAGCUGAAUUGUGAAACUGCAUGGGAGAUAUAAGGCUCAUAAUCGGGAUCAAUUUUUUGCGGAGAAAUAUGGAGGAGAUCUAAACGAAGUUACAGAUCAACAGAAUAUAAUCGGAAACAGUAAUGCACACAACAGUGACGUACACGAUGUUAACCUGCUGACAUAGAUGUUGGACUCAAGUAUGUUCGGUAGUUCAGUCUGAGGGGAGCGGAGUUACCGCCUCAGCACUUACCGUCGGCGGUCCCCCACCAAAACCCCUUUGGCAGCCUCACAACUCCAACGUCCUGGAACGUCCUUGUUGGCAAUCAAGAAAGAUUUUUUUGUCAAGCAAUAGGCACAACUAUUUCCAUGAACCUAUUUGUUAUUAUUUUAAAAAUUAGACAAAAUAUGUAAAGAGGUUUUCAUGUUGGUUCUAGUAUUUUUGACUUAGCCCUUCGGCUCUUUAUAACUUGUAUCCACAUUGCGAACGAAGACACAGCAUACAUAAAUCAAAAGCGUAUCGUUGGUUUUUUAUGAAUCCAUUGAUGAAAGUAUUAUUUCAGCCAAAAGCCAGGAUUAAAAAAUUUCAUUAUA